ACAGCAGCCGCCGCGGUAAUACGUAGGGUGCAAGCGUUAAUCGGAAUUACUGGGCGUAAAGCGUGCGCAGGCGGUUUGUUAAGACAGAUGUGAAAUCCCCGGGCUCAACCUGGGAACUGCAUUUGUGACUGGCAAGCUAGAGUCUGGCAGAGGGGGGUGGAAUUCCGCGUGUAGCAGUGAAAUGCGUAGAUAUGCGGAGGAACACCGAUGGCGAAGGCAGCCCCCUGGGCCAACACUGACGCUCAUGCACGAAAGCGUGGGGAGCAAACAGGAUUAGAUACCCCUGUAGUCCCUGUCUCUUAUAC
rnacentral:rRNA from 1 species